rnacentral:rRNA from 1 species
UACGGGGGGGGCAAGCGUUGUUCGGAAUUACUGGGCGUAAAGGGCGCGUAGGCGGCGCGGUAAGUCGGGUGUGAAAUCUCGGAGCUUAACUCCGAACUGCAUUCGAUACUGCCGUGCUUGAGGACUGGAGAGGAGACUGGAAUUUACGGUGUAGCGGUGAAAUGCGUAGAUAUCGUAAGGAAGACCAGUGGCGAAGGCGGGUCUCUGGACAGUCCUGACGCUGAGGCACGAAGUCAGGGAGCAAACGGG